rnacentral:rRNA from 1 species
UGGGGAGUAUUGGACAAUGGGGGCAACCCUGAUCCAGCCAUGCCGCGUGAGUGAAGAAGGCCCUCGGGUUGUAAAGCUCUUUUGUCCGGAAAGAAAAGCUUCGGGUUAAUACCCCGGGGUUCUGACGGUACCGGAAGAAUAAGCACCGGCUAACUUCGUGCCAGCAGCCGCGGUAAUACGAAGGGUGCAAGCGUUACUCGGAAUCACUGGGCGUAAAGCGUGCGUAGGUGGUUGUUUAAGUCUGAUGUGAAAGCCCUGGGCUCAACCUGGGAAUGGCAUUGGAAACUGGGCAGCUAGAGUGCGGUAGAGGGUAGUGGAAUUCCCGGUGUAGCAGUGAAAUGCGUAGAGAUCGGGAGGAACAUCUGUGGCGAAGGCGACUGCCUGGACCAGCACUGACACUGAGGCACGAAAGCGUGGGGAGCAAACA